rnacentral:rRNA from 1 species
CUACGGGGUGCACCAGUGAGGGAUAUUGCACAAUGGGGGGAACCCUGAUGCAGCAACGCCGCGUGGAGGAUGACGCAUUUCGGUGUGUAAACUCCUUUUAUAUGUCAAGAAAAUGACGGUAGCAUAUGAAUAAGCACCGGCUAACUCCGUGCCAGCAGCCGCGGUAAUACGGAGGGUGCAGGUGUUACUCGGAAUCACUGGGCGUAAAGGACGCGUAGGCGGGUUGGAAAGUCAGGUGUGAAAUCCUACAGCUUAACUGUAGAACUGCACUUGAAACUUCUAAUCUAGAGUAUGGGAGGGGGAGAUGGAAUUAGUGGUGUAGGGGUAAAAUCCGUAGAUAUCACUAGGAAUACCUAAAGCGAAGGCGAUCUCCUGGAACAUUACUGACGCUAAGGCGUGAAAGCGUGGGGAGCAAACAGGAUUAGAUACCCCCGUAGUC